CAUCGGUGGCGAAGGCGCUCUGCUGGACCAUAACUGACACUCAGGGACGAAAGCUAGGGGAGCGAAUGGGAUUAGAUACCCAGUAGUCCUAGCCGUAAACGAUGGAUACUAGGUGUUGUCUGUAUCGACCCGGACAGUGCCGUAGCUAACGCGUUAAGUAUCCCGCCUGGGGAGUACGCACGCAAGUGUGAAACUCAAAGGAAUUG
rnacentral:rRNA from 1 species